GUGAUACUCAAACUGGGGGCUCUUUUUGUUUUUUCUUGGAAGAAAAGUGCCGCCAGGUUUUGAGUGUUAC
rfam:Mesocricetus auratus contig173045, whole genome shotgun sequence.